rnacentral:tRNA from 1 species
GGGCGACUAGCUCAGUUGGCUAGAGCAUCGGCCUUACAAGCCGAGGGUCAAAGGUUCGAGCCCUUUGUCGCCCACCA